UCAUGUCCUCCCCCUCCCCAGCACAGUCAGUUUUCCUCUCUAUAACAAACAGGCUCAGAUCUGCUAGGAUUCUCUGAUUCACUAGGGUAUGAAGAGCAGGGAAAAUGAAGGAAGGAAGGAGAGAAGUGAACGAGUAGGGGAGGGAAGGAAGGAAAGAGGAAAAGAGGGAGAGAUGGAAGGAGAAAGAAAGAACAGAAGGAAGAGGAAAGAAGGAGAGAACAAAGAAACCAAAAGAAAAAACAUUUCAAAAAGCAAGGCACUCAGGUAUCUAUCACUAUGUGCAAAACUAGAACUAUGUAGAACAUUCUUACACUCAUUUUACAGGGGAUACAAUAGCUAACCAUUAUUUUUAAUUGCAAAUAGAAGGGCAGCAUAAUCUUUUCCUUGCUUAGGGCCUUUUAAGCUCAUAAUCAGGCCCUGUUCUGGCAAAUUCCACCACCUGGAGUGUGAGUGUAUGAAGUGCAGGUGUGAUGAUGAGCUGGCCCAAACGGCCCCAGCCCUCAGUUGUAUUUAUCCAUUGGCAUUCAGUUUUGCCCCCACAAUAAACCUACCCACCGGGAUGAAAGACUGCCUUUACUUACAAACAAAUUUUAUUGGAUUUAGUUGCAUUUGGGCACACUCCUUUAUUUUUCUCCUGGCUGCAUGGGGCUAAAUAAUUGACUUGAUUAAGUCUUGCAUUGUUGACCAAUUUCUUUGAGCAUAAUGAAGCCAUCCCACAUCCACAGAAGAAGUGAGAAGCCAAUUAGUUAUGCAGCAAAAAUGCUUGCAGCAAAGAUGUCUACAGUAAAGAUGCUUAUGGAAAAAAUACCAGACACAUGGAAAGGCUCUUUUAUUGGCUCAGGAGUGAAAGAGGACUGGGCAGAUAACAUCUGCCCUUCCCAGAGAAGGCUUAAUUAUGACUCUUAAGAUUGUGGAGCGAGGCAGCAGAAAGGCCACCUGAUAUGGUUGAAGCUGCAGCCCUGGCCUCUUACCCUGUUCUGCUAUGCUUUGCUGCACUAUCCCACACAAGUUCUUGCCCCUCUGAGGAUCCGUUUGGUCAUCCCUGCCAUGAUUGUAGGGUUGAAUAAGCUUUGUAUACUCUGCAGGGCCAUGUCCUGUGCCAUGUCUGUACCACCACUGGCGACUGGGUUUCUAUUCCCAGCUUCUGUACGUUUGAGCAAGUUAAGUGCUCUGAAGAUCUGGGUCCUAAUGGAGGUGAAGCCACUCCAGAGACUACAGCAGCCUGUAGCCCCAGAUUUUCUUGGAACUUUUUCUCCCAGAGAAGAUUGACUUGGAGACCAAAAAUACCUACAGGCUACUAACAAGGUUUAAAAUGCUAAUUUAUAAUAAUAGCCAGUGAUAUUUAUUGACUGCUUACUGUGUCCCAGACACUGUGUUAAGAGCUCAUAAACCAGAGCUUUAAUUCCAAAAUUAAUACAUGAAAUGAAAUAUAGUGGAAAUACCUGGAAGAACAAAUUAGAGAAAAUUAAAUGAAAAUGAUUGCCCAUAAACUGUGUUCCAUCCAUCUGGAACCAUUCAUUUUUCCAUGAUCAUUUCCUUGGUGCCAACUCCGGGCCCAGCAUCUUGGAUGUCAUCCCUGUACCCACGGCUUCACUGGAAACUAUUAGCAGUGCCAUGGCAUGUCGGAGAUGAGUUACUCAGGAUGUCCCUUUGACAGCGUGUCUGGACCUGUGCCCUGGUUACGAAUCAGCCUUAGUCUCUUCCAAAAGUCUCUGCCCACUGGCCACCUUCCCAAACUUCUCUGCUCCCUACAAGUGGAUGAUACGAAAAGAGCCAGCAAGGCAUUGGAAAGUCACAGGUGUCCUGUCCUUGCCCACUAUGGCUAGUGCAGUCAUCCAUUUCCUUGUAGGGACUGGUAGACAAGGGUCAUACUUCAGUUUCUCUAAAGCAUUCAGGCCUGAGACAGUGCUUCUGGGAAGAUUCCUGAGAAGUGGUGCAAACCCUGAGGGUCACGCUGCCUGGGUGCAAAACCCAGGCAGAAAGUGGCGAGGCCACAGCCAUCAAUAAUGCACAGGA